GAUGAACGCUGGCGGCGUGCCUAAUACAUGCAAGUCGAGCGAACAGACGAGGAGCUUGCUCCUCUGACGUUAGCGGCGGACGGGUGAGUAACACGUGGAUAACCUACCUAUAAGACUGGGAUAACUUCGGGAAACCGGAGCUAAUACCGGAUAAUAUAUUGAACCGCAUGGUUCAAUAGUGAAAGACGGUUUUGCUGUCACUUAUAGAUGGAUCCGCGCCGCAUUAGCUAGUUGGUAAGGUAACGGCUUACCAAGGCAACGAUGCGUAGCCGACCUGAGAGGGUGAUCGGCUACACUGGAACUGACACACGGUCCAGACUCCUACGGGAGGCAGCAGUAGGGAAUCUUGCGCAAUGGGCGAAAGCUUGACGGAGCAACGCCGCGUGAGUAAUGAAGGUCUUCGGAUCGUAAAACUCUGUUAUUAGGGAAGAACAAAUGUGUAAGUAACAAUGCACGUCUUGACGGUACCUAAUCAGAAAGCCACGGCUAACUACGUG
rnacentral:rRNA from 1 species